rnacentral:rRNA from 1 species
UACGGGGGGGGCAAGCGUUGUUCGGAAUUACUGGGCGUGAAGGGCUCGUAGGUGGCCAACUAAGUCAGACGUGAAAUCCCUCGGCUUAACCGGGGAACUGCGUCUGAUACUGGAUGGCUUGAAUCCGGGAGAGGGAUGCAGAAUUCCAGGUGUAGCGGUGAAAUGCGUAGAUAUCUGGAGGAAUACCGGUGGCGAAGGCGGCAUCCUGGACCGGCAUUGACGCUGAGGAGCGAAAGCUAGGGGAGCAAACGGG